GAUGAACGCUGGCGGCGUGCCUAAUACAUGCAAGUCGAGCGAACGGACGAGAAGCUUGCUUCUCUGAUGUUAGCGGCGGACGGGUGAGUAACACGUGGAUAACCUACCUAUAAGACUGGGAUAACUUCGGGAAACCGGAGCUAAUACCGGAUAAUAUUUUGAACCGCAUGGUUCAAAAGUGAAAGACGGUCUUGCUUUCACUUAUAGAUGGAUCCGCGCUGCAUUAGCUAGUUGGUAAGGUAACGGCUUACCAAGGCAACGAUGCAUAGCCGACCUGAGAGGGUGAUCGGCCACACUGGAACUGAGACACGGUCCAGACUCCUACGGGAGGCAGCAGUAGGGAAUCUUCCGGAAUGGGCGAAAGCCUGACGGAGCAACGCCGCGUGAGUGAUGAAGGUCUUCGGAUCGUAAAACUCUGUUAUUAGGGAAGAACAUAUGUGUAAGUAACUGGGCACAUCUUGACGGUACCUAAUCAGAAAGCCACGGCUAACUACGUG
rnacentral:rRNA from 1 species